rnacentral:tRNA from 1 species
CGUGUAGCUCAGUUGGUUAGAGCGGUAGGUUUACACCCUGCAGGCCGAGGGUUCAAUUCCCUCCGC